CGGAGGAAAAGAAACUAACAAGGAUUCCCCUAGUAACGGCGAGUGAAGAGGGAAGAGCCCAAGAUUGAAAGCUGGCGUCUUCGGCGUCCGCAUUGUAAUCUCAAGAAGUGUUUUCCGCUUCGGACCAUGCCUAAGUCCCUUGGAAAAGGGCAUCAUAGACGGUGAUAAUCCCGUACAUGGCAUGGAGCGCCCGAAGCUUUGUGAUACGCUUUCUAAGAGUCGAGUUGUUUGGGAAUGCAGCUCAAAAUGGGUGGUAAAUGCCAUCUAAGGCUAAAUAUUGGGGAGAGACCGAUAGCGAACAAGUACAGUGAUGGUAAGAUGAAAAGAACUUUGAAAAGAGAGUUAAACAGUACGUGAAAUUGCCAAAAGGGAAGGGUAGGAGGUCAGAGAUGCGGCCUGGGAUUCAGCCUUGCUUUUGCUUGGUGUUUUUCCCAGAUUGCAGGCCAACGUCGGUUUUGGGCACUGGAGAAGGGUAGGAGGAACGUGGCACCUCUCGGGGUGUGUUAUAGCCUCCUACUGGAUACAGCGACCGAGACCGAGGACAGCAGCGUACUCGCAAGAGCGGGCCUUCGGGCACC
rnacentral:rRNA from 1 species